UAGGGAAUCUUCCGCAAUGGGCGAAAGCCUGACGGAGCAACGCCGCGUGAGUGAUGAAGGUCUUCGGAUCGUAAAACUCUGUUAUUAGGGAAGAACAAAUGUGUAAGUAACUAUGCACGUCUUGACGGUACCUAAUCAGAAAGCCACGGCUAACUACGUGCCAGCAGCCGCGGUAAUACGUAGGUGGCAAGCGUUAUCCGGAAUUAUUGGGCGUAAAGCGCGCGUAGGCGGUUUUUUAAGUCUGAUGUGAAAGCCCACGGCUCAACCGUGGAGGGGCAUUGGAAACUGGAAAACUUGAGUGCAGAAGAGGAAAGUGGAAUUCCAUGUGUAGCGGUGAAAUGCGCAGAGAUAUGGUGGAACACCAGUGGCGAAGGCGACUUUCUGGUCUGUAACUGACGCUGAUGUGCGAAAGCGUGGGGAUCAAACAGG
rnacentral:rRNA from 1 species